UACAUACUAGAAUUGUUUUAUCAAUUUAACUAUUCUGUGCACUAAUAUUUGAGAAUCUUCUUUUCCCAUCUUACUAAAGUUGAUAUAUUUUCAUUUUUGGCUUGUGAUUUAGAUGGGCGUGGCCAUCCUAUUUAUGCAAAGGCUAGAAUUUGUCCAACUUGUGGAGGGGUUGGGAGGCUUUUAGUGGCAGAUUCAGCAUCUAAGCUAAGGUUGAACUCCAAACUUCUCUAGGACUCAAUAGUUGGUUUGGUAAAUGGAAAUCCAAAAGUUGUAUGGAAGGCAGGCAUGAACAAGCAAUUAUCCAACUAUACAGUGAGUUUUUAGCCG